AUUGAACGCUGGCGGCAGGCCUAACACAUGCAAGUCGAACGGAUGAAGGGAGCUUGCUCCUGGAUUCAGCGGCGGACGGGUGAGUAAUGCCUAGGUAUCUGCCUGGUAGUGGGGGAUAACGUCCGGAAACGGGCGCUAAUACCGCAUCCGUCCUGCGGGAGAACUUGGGGGAUCUUCGGACCUCAGGCUAUCAGAUGCGCCUAGGUCGGAUUAGCUAGGUGGUGGGUCAACGGCCUACCAAGGCGACGAUCCGUAACUGGUCUGAGAGGAUGAUCAGUCACACUGGAACUGAGACACGGUCCAGACUCCAACGGGAGGCAGCAGUGGGGAAUAGUGGACAAUGGGCGAAAGCCUGAUCCAGCCAGGCCGCGUGUGUGAAGAAGGUCUUCGGAUUGUAAAGCACUUUAAGUUGGGAGGAAGGGCAGUAAGUUAAUACCUUGCUGUUUUGACGUUACCAACAGAAUAAGCACCGGCUAAAUUCGUG
rnacentral:rRNA from 1 species